UACGUAGGGUGCGAGCGUUAAUCGGAAUUACUGGGCGUAAAGGGCGCGCAGGCGGCUGCUCAAGUCAGGCGUGAAAGGCCUGGGCUCAACCCGGGAAUUGCGCUUGAGACUGGGCUGGCUUGAGUGCGGGAGAGGAUGGUGGAAUUCCCAGUGUAGAGGUGAAAUUCGUAGAUAUUGGGAAGAACACCGGUGGCGAAGGCGGAUCUCUGGGCCUUACCUGACGCUCAGGCGCGAAAGCUAGGGGAGCGAACAGG
rnacentral:rRNA from 1 species